rnacentral:lncRNA from 1 species
CUCUCUCUCUCUCUCCUUUCAUGUGGUUUACGUGACAGGCCAUUACAGUCACCCUGUCUCUGGAGACACACACACAUGCUCAGUAUUCCAGCCAAUGUUCAAGGAUUCUUCAAAGCAUCAGGAGCCCGAGAAAACCACAGAGGUAGGACUGAGGUGCCCAAGCAUCGACCGGUUGAAGAACAGAGAACCAGCAGCCAGCAGUCUCAGACAGACAGAAAGAGAGAGACAGACAGACUACUACUGUUCGGAGCCACUGCACGCAACACAAUCAACCAUCUCCUCAACACAGCACACCCUGCACACACUUUAACAUGUAUUCCCUUUACAUAUGAUGUAAAGUUGACAUCCAGUUCCCACAGUGAUAUACAUUCACACCGAGGACAUGUUGCAGUUCACACCGAGAACAUGUUGCAGUUCACACCGAGGACAACUGGGACUCCUUCAUCUGAGCAGAACCUUGGAAGAAGAAACACUGCAGUGACCGCCAUGGAGACCUCUACACCUUUCUUAGCUGCCUACAAUACCUACAAGGGUGUCUGCAGGUUGUUAUAAAUACCUGCCCAAAUUAUUCUCCAGUCCAUAGAGAAAGUCUUCAACACAAUCCCAAGCUGCUUAAGACUCUGAGUAUACAGGACCCGUCUCCAAAAUCUAAUGGGGCUACUGGAAUCCAUAUAAAGCACGCCACAUAUAAUACAACCGGAAGGCUGCUGAAUCUGAAAUGCUUUAAAACAUGGCCAAGAAUAGACUGUAACUCCUCUGCCCACAUUUUGGAAGAUACUGGAUGGACAUCUAGAACAUGCAGUAAGGUGUCGGGGAAUCAGAUUAGACCAACAUUGAUUGGACAAUGAUUAUGAAAGAUAACAGAUAGAUUGAAUGGAUAUGCAGACCUUAUUAUAUGAUUAUCACAAGACAUGCUUCCACAUUGUUUUCUGCAUGUGGAGUUCUGAAUGCAUACAACAUUAUUUGUAUUUCUUUCAUUCAGCUAGUGUUUCUAACUUGCAUGAUUCAGUAGGUAAGACUUAAUUUAGAACACAAGUUUCCCUACUCCACAGACAAACAAGCCGUUUCAAAGGCAAAAUGCUAGCCCUGAGUCUCAGUGGAACUGAGCCGGUACCGAGAGACUGCACAUCUCACCUCAACCGUACAGACUGUAUUCACUCUGUCUGCUCAGAUGAAGUAAAUAACCUCUAAACUGUCUGGCUGGGUAGAAAAUGAAUUGUAUUCUUGGUUCAGCAUUAUUUCUUGUUAUAGUCAGUAUCGAAAUAUAAUUACAGUGGAACACCCACACAGUCUGACAUUUUAUUGUUACCUAACCCACCAUUACGAUGUGCCCUUUGCCGCCUUGGAAAAAACAACAGCAAAACACCACCUUUUGAAAUAAAGGCAGUAAAUAAUUGAAGUCACUAUAUCUGCACAUUUCCACUAAAUCUCUAGCAGCACCUAGAGGUCAUUGAGGCAUUACAUCACCUGCGUCACGCUGCCUUGGACCAGACAUGUGAAAUACAUGUGGUGUGUGAUAACAAUCAAGAUUUGUCUGGGACUAUGUGAGGUCAAGCACCCUUUAUAAUUGGCCUCUAACAAACUGGUGUAGAGAGAGCGUAUCCAUGUAAAGGGCGCAACCAGGAAAUGGUACAGUCAUAUUCUUUAGGCUAC